AUUGAACGCUGGCGGAAUGCUUUACACAUGCAAGUCGAACGGCAGCACGGACUUCGGUCUGGUGGCGAGUGGCGAACGGGUGAGUAAUACAUCGGAACGUGCCCAAUCGUGGGGGAUAACGUAGCGAAAGCUACGCUAAUACCGCAUACGAUCUAAGGAUGAAAGCGGGGGAUCGCAAGACCUCGCGCGAUUGGAGCGGCCGAUGGCAGAUUAGGUAGUUGGUGGGGUAAAGGCCUACCAAGCCGACGAUCUGUAGCUGGUCUGAGAGGAUGAUCAGCCACACUGGGACUGAGACACGGCCCAGACUCCUACGGGAGGCAGCAGUGGGGAAUUUUGGACAAUGGACGCAAGUCUGAUCCAGCCAUUCCGCGUGCAGGAUGAAGGCCCUCGGGUUGUAAACUGCUUUUGUACAGAACGAAAAGGCUCUGGUUAAUACCUAGGGCUCAUGACGGUACUGUAAGAAUAAGCACCGGCUAACUACGUGCCAGCCGCCGCCGUAA
rnacentral:rRNA from 1 species